rnacentral:misc_RNA from 1 species
AACCUUAUGGACCUGCGGGCGUAUACCUGCGGAAGGAUCAUUAAUGAUUGAACGUCUGUCGAGCUUGCUCACAGGCACAUCAUAUCCAUAACACCUGUGCACUUGUCGGAUGGCUUAGUGAAGACCGCAAGGUUGGAUCUAUCCAUCUACUUUACAUAACAAUUCUGUUACAAAUGUAGUCUUAUUAUAACAUAAUAAAACUUUCAACAAUGGAUCU